UACGUAGGGUGCAAGCGUUGUCCGGAAUUACUGGGCGUAAAGAGCUCGUAGGUGGUUUGUCGCGUUGUUCGUGAAAACUCACAGCUCAACUGUGGGCGUGCGGGCGAUACGGGCAGACUGAGUACUGCAGGGGAGACUGGAAUUCCUGGUGUAGCGGUGGAAUGCGCAGAUAUCAGGAGGAACACCGGUGGCGAAGGCGGGUCUCUGGGCAGUAACUGACGCUGAGGAGCGAAAGCGUGGGGAGCGAACAGG
rnacentral:rRNA from 1 species